UGAACCGAUAGGAUGGAAGCAGAUGAAGUUGACGAACGUGUGUCGUAUUCAAAAUCGCUGUCAGCGGUUUGUUUUUACGGCCGAUGUGGGCCGGCGGCUUUGGUCAAUGCAACGCGUCUAGCGUCGAUGGUGACCCUGCGGAGGGACAAUCAGUCGUCGUACGGUGCUUGGUAUGGCUAAGGUUUCGCCGGUCUUAAAGUCAGCGCCUCAUCUGACCCGUCUUGAAACACGGACCAAGGAGUGUAGCGUUUGCGCAAGUCUUAGAGUGUAUCGAAACUUUGAGGCGUAACGAAAGUAAAUGCAGUUUAAUCUGCUGACUUGGGAUGCGUUGUCUCUUGUGGACGGCGCUGGACCAAGGUUUUAUCGCGAUCGCUUGCGGUGCGGUGAAAAUAGAGCGUAAACGGUGCGACCCGAAAGAUGGUGAACUAUGCCUGAGCAGGAUGAAGCCGGAGGAAACUCUGGUGGAAGUCCGAAGCGGUUCUGACGUGCAAAUCGAUCGUCUGACUUGGGUAUAGGGGCGAAAGACUAAUCGAACCAUCUAGUA
rnacentral:rRNA from 1 species